rnacentral:rRNA from 1 species
UCCUACGGGAGGCAGCAGUAGGGAAUCUUCCGCAAUGGACGAAAGUCUGACGGAGCAACGCCGCGUGAGUGAUGAAGGCUUUCGGGUCGUAAAACUCUGUUGUUAGGGAGGAACAAGUGCUAGUUGAAUAAGCUGGCACCUUGACGGUACCUAACCAGAAAGCCACGGCUAACUACGUGCCAGCAGCCGCGGUAAUACGUAGGUGGCAAGCGUUAUCCGGAAUUAUUGGGCGUAAAGCGCGCGCAGGUGGUUUCUUAAGUCUGAUGUGAAAGCCCACGGCUCAACCGUGGAGGGUCAUUGGAAACUGGGAGACUUGAGUGCAGAAGAGGAAAGUGGAAUUCCAUGUGUAGCGGUGAAAUGCGUAGAGAUAUGGAGGAACACCAGUGGCGAAGGCGACUUUCUGGUCUGUAACUGACACUGAGGCGCGAAAGCGUGGGGAGCAAACAGGAUUAGAUACCCUGGUAGUCCACGCCGUAAACGAUGAGUGCUAAGUGUUAGAGGGUUUCCGCCCUUUAGUGCUGAAGUUAACGCAUUAAGCACUCCGCCUGGGGAGUACGGCCGCAAGGCUGAAACUCAAAGGAAUUGACGGA